rnacentral:rRNA from 1 species
UACGGGGGGGGCAAGCGUUGUUCGGAAUUACUGGGCGUAAAGGGCUUGUAGGUGGCCAACUAAGUCAAACGUGAAAUCCCUCGGCUUAACCGGGGAACUGCGUCUGAUACUGGAUGGCUGGAGUUUGGGAGAGGGAUGCGGAAUUCCAGGUGUAGCGGUGAAAUGCGUAGAUAUCUGGAGGAACACCGGUGGCGAAGGCGGCGUUCUGGACUGCAACUGACGCUGAAGAACGAAAGCUAGGGGAGCAAACAGG